AGAAUUUGUCUGCAUGAUCAGAAUAAAAACUGUUCCACCUUUUUCUUAUCUGCAGGGUUACACCUGAAGACUAACCAAUAUUUUAUUCAUCCACCUACAUAAGUUGAUUUAUGCUCCUGAAGUUUGGGUUGCAGCUUACAAAUGUCUCUCUUUUCCUGGCCUGACGUACGGCAUGCUUUCAGUAUGAGCACUUGCAAUUAUUGGAUCUUUCUGCCAGCAUCAUGAGGAGGCAGGCCAGAAAAACAACUUAACUCAGAAAGUAGACAUGCCAGAGAGAGCACCCAAAUGCCAGCCGGCACCUGUGAGCUCAGCACAACUGCAGGUGGGCUGAUGGGAACGGACCCAGGCCCAGAUGGAUAUAAGCUGCCUGAGGGGGGUCUCUUUCUGCUAUUUGUUGCUCUGGAGCAAAGGUUUCAUUAAGAUGGUGAAGUGCUGUUCCCACUGCUGCCCUUGUGUGUUGGAGGACAGAUGCAAAGUGAAAUAUCUCUUACAAACCUUGGAGAACUCAUAUGAAUGUGUAUUUAUGUUUGCAUGCAUGAAAGGAGCACCCUCAAACUAUAAAGUAAUCUUGCUUUCGGCAUUUCUCAGUCCUUGAGUCCUCAGCUUGGUAAACUAAAUAAUGUCCUAUUAGCGUGGACUUGCAUUUGAGCAUGUAAUAAAGUGCCACCAAAUGCUGAUACGACUGGUUCUUACAUGUUUCUCAGAUUAGAUUUAUCAAUUAAACAAAUACAGUUUUUCUUCUCCAAAUGGAAAGAGACUUAAGAUUCAGAUGCAUUUCAUAUGCUGGAGUUAUGAACCCCUGCUAUUCCUACUCCAUACUCUGCUGCCACUACUGCUCCUGUCCCUGGUAAUGGCAGAGAUCUCUGUAGAAAUAGUGUAAAGAGUAUGUAGAAAUAAUGAAUUACAAGCUCAUGAGUACUUGUUUCUGAUGUGCAGC